rnacentral:lncRNA from 1 species
GAGGCUUCGGCAGCGGCGGGGGCUGAGCCGGGCUGCGUCAGGCUGAGCCCAUUCACCGCGCGGCCGCAGGAGCGCAGCGCCAGCGCCGCGCCGCCCAGCCCCGCCGAGAGGGGCGCACUCGCCGCCGCGGGGCCCGCCGCCGCUCACCGAAGCCCCCUCCUGGCGACCCACAAGUCUUCUUAAACUGUGAGUAACUAAGUGGCUUGUGUAUCAUUCCGGCAGCAAAGCUAAAAUUCCCAGCUGUCUUGUCUACUUGACCUACUCAUUCCCUGCUUGGAAACCAAGAGAAGACUGCUCCACAAGACUCCUCCAUAAAUUGCUGCCAUGUCUGUAUCGAAUUUAUCAUGGUAAAACUAAAGCAGAGAACUUAAAAGUCUGUUUUCAAGGGCGUUCCCGUUGUGGCGCAGCGGAAAUAAACCUGACUAGUAUCCAUGAGGAUGUGGAUUCGAUCCCUGGCCUCGCCCAGUGGAUUAAAGAUCUGGUGUUGCAGUGAGCUGUGGUGUAGGUCACAGAUGAGGCUCGGAUCCCGCAUUGCUGUGGCUGUAGGCCAGCAGCUACAGCUCUGAUUUGACCCCUAGCCUGGGAACUUCCAUAUGCCGUGGUGCAGCCAUAAAAAGUAAAAAAAAAAAAAAGUCUGUUUUCAAGAGCUUGUUGUCCCUACGUUAGAUUGAGGAAAGCAACCUGGUAUUUGACCUUCCAGCACUGUGGUGUCUGGGACUCUGGGAAGAGUUCAAGCCUGCUGCUGAAUCCCAGUGACAUCCAAUGCCUUUCUUUCCAGCACACCCUGGGGAGAGAGGAAUAGGAAUAAAAUAUCCUUUCAAGUUGCUAUCCGCUGUCAUCUUCCUAGAUUCAAAACUGAGAAGUUGUAAGGGUGGGAUAGACAUUUUCCAUCAAUACUUUUCUUCAGGUUUCCUAUUACAACAAAUCCACCCAAAUUAAACUGAAUAGAACUCACAUAAUGAAGAGAAAAUUCCUUUAUAGAUUCAUAUCUAAAUAGCUGGCAUUUUGAAUAAUCUUUGACUUAUACUUCAUGUUUAAAAGCUGUUUGCGAUUUUUAAAAAGAGGCAUGAAGAUACUUUUCUGGCAAGUAAACAUCAACUUUCCUCUGGCCAUGGAGUACUAGAAGGGGUGAAUUUGAAGCCAUUUUAUUGUACUUUGGAUUUUUUUCUGUAUAUUAAGAGCUGAAUAAGUGAUAUUAUGUGAAUUGAUAGUAUUUAGUAUGUGAAUGUAAGAAAAACCUGGCAAUCUUUUCUUGUUUCCUUAAGAGCUCAUCUCAUCCUUGUCUUCAAUUUGUGCUGGAAACAGCAUCAGAUUAGAACCAGUUUCCACAGUUUAAGUCCAUGCAUUUAUUUUUAGUUAAGUAAGCAAUUUCUUUAGGGCAAAGGGUGGAAUCAUUUGUUUAGAUUUAGAGUUGUAUUUCUGAAGGACCUAUCUGUAUGGAUGCCCUAGAAUAUGUCCUUGGAUCCCUGGACAUACUGGGUGCUAAAGAUCUCAGUUUGAAAAAAAUAAAAAAGGAUUAAAGAAGCUGAAAAAUAUCCUGUAAAAGUAAAUGAAAAAGUAUUUAAGUUGUAAAUUAUUACUACAAAAUGUUUCCUUUUACAUUAUUAUGAAAAUAAAAAUCAUGAAAAUUUUAAAACUAAAUAAUUUCUGUAAAACUUGUGAGUCCCUUCAAACCCUGGGAGAUAUUAGGAACAAUGUAUUUAAAAGAAUUAUACCUCUGGGAGACACGUGUAUUGGGUUGGGAAGGGAACAGGACAGGGGAAAAAAAGAGUAGGGGUGAAGAAAGAGGAGAAAAGGGUUGGGGGAAGAGAAGAUGAAUAAGAAGCGGGAGAGGGAGAAUGAAACAUAGAUGGAGUUGUCAUAUCUCAGGGUAGGCUGGGCUGUGACCUGACUCACAGAGGCAGGACAGGACUAACACUGGAGCUUGUCCUUAGUUUGUGCCUCAAUUAACAGAUGCCUUGGAGUUCCCAUUGUGGCCCAGUGAUCACAGACCCAAAAAGUAUCCAUGAGGAUGUGGGUUCAAUCCCUGACCCUGCUCAGUGGGUUAAGGGUCUGGCGUUGCCGUGAGCUGUGGUGUAGGUCACAGAAGCAGCUUGGAUCCUGCAUUUUUGUGGCUGUGGUGUAGGCUGGCAGCUACAGCUCCGAUUUGACCCCUAGUCUGAGAACUUCUAUAUGCUGAGGGUGCAGUCCUAAAAGACAAAUAAACAAAACAAACAAAAAACCCCCAAAACCAGAUGCUUUGAUGUGAUGGAAUGAUUUGAUUAGGGCCACCCAAACCAAUGAACUCCACACAACGAGAGAGGUUGUGUCUUGUGCUUCCAGUCCAGUUGUGGAGCCUGGGUUUUAGAAUUUAGUGGAUGUCCUAUUCAUCUGUGUUGUGGAAAAGGGCAGAGUAGUAAUUCAUGUUUUUAUUCUGAAAGAGAAUUUAUGAUUAUGAGGGUAUCUUAGAGAAUUCAUAUUGCUGAAAUUUCUUAGAAUUCUUUCCAUGUUAAAGGUUCAUAUUUUACCGAAAUAAUUCUUGGAUACCUUCAUUUAACAGUGCUCUUCAUUCUGGUUUAUAUUUAGGAAGCUCUUCAUUUGUUUUAACGGUUAUCACCCUAUCAUACAACUGUGUGUGAUCUGGCACUUCCAUUCUCCCUCUUAGAAUUUAGACUCCCCACACACUGGCAAGAAAGAAGUCUGGAAAGGAAUUCUAAGCUAUGCAAAACAAGUCACUGAUUUAUUUCACUUACACCCAGCUUAGAAGUCAUUCAUCUUCAUUUUUCACAUUAACCUUUGUAAUUCUUUUACAUUUCCUAAAAUUUCUAAUCUAUAAUUUGGGAACCAUUAUCUUAUAAAUGUUUGAAUACGGAUGCAUAGUAACUCAUCACUCCUCUGUGAGAGUUUCUCACAGAGCUCCGUUAAUUUAGUGAAAUUUUUAUGGUCAAGGGCCUGGCUUUCUGAUUGGAAAUCCAGAAACUAACAUGUGAAACUACUGCCUGACAUUGGAAAAUAAACUGGGUUUCCAAACUGUUAACUUAAAACAAGGUAUGUACGUAACUUUUAAGUGCAUGGGAUGCUUGCUUUGGCCUGACUAGUGCAUCCUUACUCUUCUAGAAAGCUAUCUGGGAAUCUAAAUCAGAAGUUUGGCUGAUGUCACAUCAUCAUGGCAAGGAGAGCUAUAUUCUUCAAGUGUUCGAAGGAAACAGGAUGGGGUGUGCCUGGCAGGAUAUACCUGUCAGUAAGGGGUGUAUCUGCCAGACACCACCAUCUGCUUCUCAGGGCAGCUUCUUCGUGGCUAGGAGUUAGCGGAAUAAUGCUGUCAGUGUAUGUCUCUAAUUCCUCUAGUGCACCUCUCCCAGACUCUCUUCUGCUUGGCUUUCUCAUUAAUGUUAGCACACAUUUAUAGUCAAAACCUUCUUCCAUCCCGGCAGCUUGCUGCCCACCAUGGUGUUGUACAUACCUAACCAUAACCAUGUGUUGAUUUUAAUAUUUAAUGCCGAGGCUUAAUGGAAGGAAGAGUACCUAAUCAUGAUCCUCAGUUGUGACUGAGUGUAACCUCAGAUUUAGAAAAUAUCGGUCUUGGAGUUCCCGUCAUGGCUCAGUGGUUAACGAAUCUGACUAGGAACCACGAGGUGCAGGUUCGAUCCCUGGCCUCGCUCAGUGGGUUGGGGAUCUGUGGUGUAGGUCACAGACGCCGCUCGGAUUAAUGUUGCUGUGGCUGUGGUGUAGGCCGGUAGCUGUAGAUCCAAUUCAGCCCCCAGCCUGGGAACCUCCAUAUGCCGUGGGUG